GACGAACCGUGCAAACGUUGUUCGGAAUCACUGGGCUUAAAGGGCGCGUAGGCGGAUGAGCAAGUCUGUGGUGAAAUCCCCCGGCUUAACCGGGGAACUGCCGUGGAUACUGCACAUCUCGAGGAAGAUAGGGGCGUCUGGAACUAGCGGUGGAGCGGUGAAAUGCGUUGAUAUCUGAAGGAACACCAGUGGCGAAAGCGGCUUCCUGGUCCAGCACCGACGUUCAGGCACGAAAGCGUGGGGAGCAAACAGG
rnacentral:rRNA from 1 species